rnacentral:rRNA from 1 species
UUCCUAGUACGGCGAGUGAGCGGGAUGAGCUCAAAUUUAAAAUCUGGCAGCCUAAGGUUGUCCGAGUUGUAGUCUAGAGAAGCGUUUUCCGCGUAGGCCUGUGUACAAGUCCCUUGGAAUAGGGCGUCAUAGAGGGUGAGAAUCCCGUCCUUGACACAGAUCAUCUAUGCUUUGCGAUGCGCUCUCGAAGAGUCGAGUUGUUUGGGAAUGCAGCUCAAAAUGGGUGGUAAAUUCCAUCUAAAGCUAAAUACUGGCGAGAGACCGAUAGCGAACAAGUACCGUGAGGGAAAGAUGAAAAGCACUUUGGAAAGAGAGUUAAACAGUACGUGAAAUUGUUGAAAGGGAAACGAUUGAAGUCAGUCAUGUGGUUCGAGAUUCAGCCGGUUCUGCCGGUGUAUUUCUCGAGCUACAGGCCAGCAUCAGUUUCGACCGGUGGAAAAAGUUGGAGGGAACGUGGCAUCCUCGGAUGUGUUAUAGCCCUCUUUCACAUGCAUCGGACGGGACUGAGGAACGCAGCGUGCCUUUAUGGUCGGUCUUCGGACACGAACGCGCUUAGGAUGCUGGCAUAAUGGCUUUAAACGACCCGUCUGAAA